GGUAUCAUAGAGGGUGAGAAUCCCGUGCAUGAUCAGACCAAGAUACUUAAUAUUCGCUUUCUAAGAGUCGAGUUGUUUGGGAAUGCAGCUCAAAAUGGGUGGUAGACUUCACCUAAGGCUAAAUAUCAGCGAGAGACCGAUAGCGAACAAGUACUGUGAAGGAAAGAUGAAAAGAACUUUGAAAAGAGAGUUAAAUAGUACGUGAAAUUGUUGAAAGGGAAACGAUUGAAGUCAGUCAUGCUAGUGAAAAUUCAGUUUGACGGGUUUUGGGUUUGGGAGUAGAGGCAGGGUCAAACCGUUUCUCUUUUGAACUCGGGAUUUGUCGGAUGCACUUUUUCUUUGGCAGGUUAGCGUCGAUUU
rnacentral:rRNA from 1 species